GUGAGUGAGUAUAAAGCCCUGCUCAAUAACUUUACUACUCGCUACAUCUCGGUGGAAAAAAAGAAAAAAGAAAAAAGAAAAAAGAAAAAGUCUGUCGCUAGAUAAGCAUAUUCUUGUACAAAAGGGGGCAAUUGUGGAGCUUUUGUACUCGCUUCCUAGAUCUCUGUGAGUGGAACUCGCCUCUCGUCGACCACAUUUUCUUUGCUGAGCAGAAUUAUUUUUUGUACAUUGGGGUUUGGUUAUAUGAAAGAGUUGUUGUAUUUCUUGAGAAAACAAGGGGAAAAAAAGAAGUUUGGUUAAAAAAAAGAAGUUUGGUGUUUGGGGUUACUAAGUUGGUUUCUGGGUUAAUAUGGGGCUCUUUGAUCUUUGUUUCUGGGUCAAUCGCCUCGCCAGUCUCUCAUCAUCAACACAGAAUGAUGAGAGACUGGUGAGGACAUUGAAGAGAAGGCUGCUUGGUACUGGAAAUUCUGAGCUUACUGCAGAACAUUGGAAGAGAAUCAAUUGGGUGAUGGAAUUGAUGAUGAUUGAGUCAUAUUUGAAUAAUAGAGAACCAGCAGACUCUGUCAGGGAAAGUCAUGAUGAUGUUCGUGAUGGAGAAGAUGACACGGACCCUCAAUAUAAGAUGUUCUUGGAGAAUUUAAAGGAAGAUGGGACAGUCAGGGAAAGUGAGGAACGUGUUCGUGAUGAAGAAGACGACAUGGACCCUCAAUAUAAGAUGUUCUUGGAGAAUUUGAGGGAAUAUGGGAAUUCAUAUAAACUGGAGGUAACUAUGACGGGCGGGAGGUCUUUAUUAAUAAGGUACAAGGAGAAGUAUGGGUUGGAUAACGAGCCUGAGGCCCAAACCUCAAGAAAAUCAGGGAAAUUUUCGAAUAGAGAGAAGAUAGAAGCUCGUAAAGAUGUGACUGAUGUUCCGAGCAAAGACAAGAUUGAAACACAAAAGACUUCGAGGUACAUUAUUGGGAAAGAUAAGGUGGAAAGACCCAAAACUAUGGAAAAUGGUAUGGUGGAUGAAUGCUACCGAGCAUUCCUGAAUUGUUUGGAACAGGAAGGUGAUUGCAUUGUUUUCGUGACUGAGAAUGGAAAGAGGGUAAAGUAUGAAGAAGAGGAUAUUGAUAGUUCAUCUGAUGUAGAAAUAUUAGACAUAGAUAGUGCUCCAUCAGAGAAUCCAUUUGUACCUUCAAAAAUGUUUGAUUCAUCUUGUCUGGGACAUCCAAGUGAAAGCAAGAAAUCUCAGUUUAGGGAGAAGGUCGUGAGUAUUCUCAAAAGACCUUAUGACCAGGAGGAGUAUGAAGAGCUUUUGCAUAAUAUAAAGGCGAGAAAGCCAGUGCAACGUAAUAUAGACUUGCGUUGCUCGGGAUCACUAUUUUACCAAGCAAGUAAUAUCGGCAAAUCAUAUCUUGAUCACUAUGAUGAUCUUAAAAGCAAGAUUUCUGAAGCCCGAUUUGAUCGACGUAAAGCGCUGAAUCUCUUACGUGGUUUUUUCUAUUGGAUGCAGAAUUUGACCCAUGAAGGAGCAUUCCGACCUUGGUUAGACAGCUCGUGUUUGGAGGUGCUGCCAGGAAAUCGCUAGAAGAUUAUUCUGCCUCUACUUUGGCAAGUAUUCUGCCUCAAAUGCUGUUUGCUGUGUCUCAAGAUAAUGACAGAAGCGAUCUGAUAGUAGAUAAUUGAUUAUUUGACAAUUUGAUCAGAAUUUGACCCAUGAAGGAGCAUUCCGACCUUGGUUAGACAGCUCGUGUUUGGAGGUGCUGCCAGGAAAUCGCUAGAAGAUUAUUCUGCCUCUACUUUGGCAAGUAUUCUGCCUCAAAUGCUGUUUGCUGUGUCUCAAGAUAAUGACAGAAGCGAUCUGAUAGUAGAUAAUUGAUUAUUUGACAAUUUGAUCAGGUGAUUUUUCAACGGUCUCUUUCGGCCACUGCAACCUUCUUGGUAGGCACAAACCACUUUGUGGCGAACUGACAUUUCAUUACCAUAUACCUUUUCGUUAAUCAAAUUGGGUGAUUGUAUACGAAGUUUAGUAAAUUUAUGUUGUAUCUCAGUUCCCCAUUAUUUACCUUUUCUGUAUGAGGCUUUUUCUGUUGUCAAAGGUGCACCCUAAUUACUCAAGUAAUUUGUUAAAAACGCAUGGAACAUUUGGUGAUAUAGUGAGCUUUUCUUUUUUAUGAAACUUGUAAUGGAAAAAUGGUACAUGCUAAGUAGAGUUUGAUAACAUUUUGUUUUUUCUUUGCA